rnacentral:rRNA from 1 species
CAGUAGCCGCGGUAAUACGAAGGGGGCUAGCGUUGUUCGGAUUUACUGGGCGUAAAGGGCGCGUAGGCGGACUGAUAAGUCAGGGGUGAAAUCCCAAGGCUCAACCUUGGAACUGCCUUUGAUACUGUUUGUCUUGAGUUCGAGAGAGGUAAGUGGAACUGCGAGUGUAGAGGUGAAAUUCGUAGAUAUUCGCAAGAACACCAGUGGCGAAGGCGGCUUACUGGCUCGAGACUGACGCUGAGGCGCGAAAGCGUGGGGAGCAAUCAGGAUUAGAUACCCCGGUAGUCCCUGUCUCUUAUAC